GUUCGGUUGGUAUGUUUUUCUUUGUGUGUUUUAUUUUUUAAAUAUUUUCUUUUAUCAGUUUAUUUCUAUUUGUGUGAAUUUAAUUCUCCUUUUUUCAUUUUUUUACGCCAAGAUUUUAAAAGAUCACUACUUGUAAUGAUAUUUGGAUGACCAGGCUUAAGUAUCUGAUAUAUACGCCUAUUAUAUUUCAACGUUAUUAAUUCAAAC
rnacentral:lncRNA from 1 species